rnacentral:rRNA from 1 species
CCUACGGGAGGCAGCAGUGGGGAAUCUUGCGCAAUGGGCGAAAGCCUGACGCAGCCAUGCCGCGUGAAUGAUGAAGGUCUUAGGAUUGUAAAAUUCUUUCACCGGGGACGAUAAUGACGGUACCCGGAGAAGAAGCCCCGGCUAACUUCGUGCCAGCAGCCGCGGUAAUACGAAGGGGGCUAGCGUUGCUCGGAAUUACUGGGCGUAAAGGGAGCGUAGGCGGAUAGUUUAGUCAGAGGUGAAAGCCCAGGGCUCAACCUUGGAAUUGCCUUUGAUACUGGCUAUCUUGAGUUUGGGAGAGGUGAGUGGAACUCCGAGUGUAGAGGUGAAAUUCGUAGAUAUUCGGAAGAACACCAGUGGCGAAGGCGACUCACUGGCCCAAUACUGACGCUGAGGCUCGAAAGCGUGGGGAGCAAACAGGAUUAGAUACCCUGGUAGUCCACGCCGUAAACGAUGAGUGCUAGUUGUCGGCAUGCAUGCAUGUCGGUGACGCAGCUAACGCAUUAAGCACUCCGCCUGGGGAGUACGGUCGCAAGNUUAAAACUCAAAUGAAUUGACGG